UUCGUAGGCGGUGUGGCAAGUCGGAAGUGAAAUCUCUGGGCUCAACCCAGAGACUGCUUCCGAAACUGCUGUGCUUGAGUGUGAGAGAGGCUCGUGGAAUUGCAGGUGUAGCGGUGAAAUGCGUAGAUAUCUGCAGGAACACCCGUGGCGAAAGCGGCGAGCUGGAUCACUACUGACGCUGAGGAACGAAAGCUAGGGGAGCAAACA
rnacentral:rRNA from 1 species